rnacentral:rRNA from 1 species
UAAACGACUCUCGGCAACGGAUAUCUCGGCUCUCGCAUCGAUGAAGAACGUAGUGAAAUGCGAUACUUGGUGUGAAUUGCAGAAUCCCGCGAACCAUCGAGUCUUUGAACGCAAGUUGCGCCCGAAGCCACUAGGUUGAGGGCACGUCUGCCUGGGCGUCUCAC